CUGUUUAUUGAGGGCUCCGGAGUGCUCUUCAAAACCAUCUUCUUCCUGCCGUUCUCAGCAGACAGCAGCAUCUCAGGGAUACCUUCCCCUCCCAGAGGGGCUGGAGGUGGGCAGGGAACAGAAACCUCAAAGAGUCCUGCGGCUCUCUCAGCGAGAAGCCGCCCCAGCCCUUCUCGAGGCGUGCGCCGGAAAUGCACUUCUUCUAGCUGGAGGAGGAGCGGCUUUCUUUCUGCCGGGGUUGCUGAGCUGCUGGGGUGUCAACGAGGAGAUGCUGUGGGCCCUCUUCAUCCCUCAUGAGAACAGUCUGCCUGACACCAAAGGCAUCUCAGAGAAAAGCAGAGGCAAGA
rnacentral:lncRNA from 1 species